rnacentral:misc_RNA from 1 species
GUAACUUAUUUUGAUAAUUAAGGUUAAUAUGGGAAAUACAGUGAUUAUAUUCUUUGAGUUUUGAUGAUUGCAACUCAUUAUGUAUUUUCAAAGGUGAAAAAUGGACACUUCUUGCGGGACUGAUGGAGUAGUUAAAGCGUUUGCAUGUCCUAACUCAAUUCUCAGUUCUCACAGACCAGAUCCUGGAAAUUAUACUAUUUCU